rnacentral:rRNA from 1 species
UGGCGGACGGGUGAGUAACGCGUGGGUAACCUACCUCAUACAGGGGGAUAACAGUUGGAAACGACCGCUAAUACCGCAUAACCCGCUAGUAUCGCAUGAUACGGACGGAAAAGAUUUAUCGGUAUGAGAUGGACCCGCGUCUGAUUAGCCAGUUGGCAGGGUAACGGCCUACCAAAGCAACGAUCAGUAGCCGGCCUGAGAGGGUGAACGGCCACAUUGGGACUGAGACACGGCCCAAACUCCUACGGGAGGCAGCAG